rnacentral:rRNA from 1 species
GACGAACGCUGGCGGCGUGCCUAAUACAUGCAAGUCGAGCGAGCUUGCCUAGAUGAUUUUAGUGCUUGCACUAAAUGAAACUAGAUACAAGCGAGCGGCGGACGGGUGAGUAACACGUGGGUAACCUGCCCAAGAGACUGGGAUAACACCUGGAAACAGAUGCUAAUACCGGAUAACAACACUAGACGCAUGUCUAGAGUUUGAAAGAUGGUUCUGCUAUCACUCUUGGAUGGACCUGCGGUGCAUUAGCUAGUUGGUAAGGUAACGGCCCACCAAGCCUUCGAUGGAUAGGGGUUCUGAGAGGAGGGUCCCCCACAUUGGAACUGAGACACGGUCCAA